rnacentral:rRNA from 1 species
CCUACGGGUGGCAACAGUGGGGAAUAUUGGACAAUGGGGGCAACCCUGAUCCAGCCAUGCCGCGUGUGUGAAGAAGGCCCUCGGGUUGUAAAGCACUUUCAGUGAGGAAGAACGCCUGGUGGUUAAUACCCAUCAGGAAAGACAUCACUCACAGAAGAAGCACCGGCUAACUCCGUGCCAGCAGCCGCGGUAAUACGGAGGGUGCGAGCGUUAAUCGGAAUUACUGGGCGUAAAGCGCGCGUAGGUGGCUUGAUAAGCCGGUUGUGAAAGCCCCGGGCUCAACCUGGGAACGGCAUCCGGAACUGUCAAGCUAGAGUGCAGGAGAGGAAGGUAGAAUUCCCGGUGUAGCGGUGAAAUGCGUAGAGAUCGGGAGGAAUACCAGUGGCGAAGGCGGCCUUCUGGACUGACACUGACACUGAGGUGCGAAAGCGUGGGUAGCAAACAGGAUUAGAUACCCUAGUAGUC